rnacentral:rRNA from 1 species
GUGUAGCGUACCUACUAGCCUACGACGGGUACGGGUUGUGAGAGCAAGAGCCCGGAGAUGGAUUCUGAGACACGAAUCCAGGCCCUACGGGGUGCAGCAGGCGCGAAAACUUUACAAUGCUGGCAACAGCGAUAAGGGAACCUCGAGUGCCAGGUUACAAAUCUGGCUGUCGAGAUGCCUAAAAAGCAUUUCAUAGCAAGGGCCGGGCAAGACCGGUGCCAGCCGCCGCGGUAACACCGGCGGCUCGAGUGGUAACCGUUAUUAUUGGGUCUAAAGGGUCUGUAGCCGGCCGGAUAAGUCUCUUGAGAAAUCUGGCAGCUUAACUGUCAGGCUUUCAGGAGAUACUGUCUGGCUCGAGGCCGGGAGAGGUGAGAGGUACUUCAGGGGUAGGGGUGAAAUCUUGUAAUCCUUGAAGAACCACCAGUGGCGAAGGCGUCUCACCAGAACGGACCUGACGGCAAGGGACGAAAGCUAGGGGCACGAACCGGAUUAGAUACCCGGGUAGUCCUAGCCGUAAACGAUACUCGCUAGGUGUCGGCCACGGUGCGACCGUUGUCGGUGCCGUAGGGAAGCCGUGAAGCGAGC